GACGAACGCUGGCGGCGUGCUUAACACAUGCAAGUCGAACGGAAAGGCCCUGCUUUUGUGGGGUGCUCGAGUGGCGAACGGGUGAGUAACACGUGAGUAACCUGCCCUUGACUUUGGGAUAACUUCAGGAAACUGGGGCUAAUACCGGAUAGGAGCUCCUGCUGCAUGGUGGGGGUUGGAACGUUUCUGCGGUUGGGGAUGGACUCGCGGCUUAUCAGCUUGUUGGUGGGGUAGUGGCUUACCAAGGCUUUGACGGGUAGCCGGCCUGAGAGGGUGACCGGCCACAUUGGGACUGAGAUACGGCCCAGACUCCUACGGGAGGCAGCAGUGGGGAAUAUUGCACAAUGGGCGGAAGCCUGAUGCAGCAACGCCGCGUGCGGGAUGACGGCCUUCGGGUUGUAAACCGCUUUCGCCUGUGACGAAGCGUGAGUGACGGUAAUGGGUAAAGAAGCACCGGCUAACUACGUG
rnacentral:rRNA from 1 species